UACGGGGGGAGCAAGCGUUGUUCGGAUUUACUGGGCGUAAAGGGCGCGUAGGCGGCCUGUGCAAGUCAGUUGUGAAAUCUCCGGGCUUAACUCGGAACGGUCAACUGAUACUGCUCGGCUAGAGUGCGGAAGGGGCAACUGGAAUUCUUGGUGUAGCGGUGAAAUGCGUAGAUAUCAAGAGGAACACCUGCGGCGAAGGCGGGUUGCUGGGCCGACACUGACGCUGAGGCGCGAAAGCCAGGGGAGCGAACGGG
rnacentral:rRNA from 1 species